ensembl:lncRNA
AGCAUAUUGAAUCAAUUAAUAGCAUGUACAAGGAAACUCCGAUUAUUUGAAGGAGUGGAGAAAAAUGACUUGAUUCUUUACAAGUAGUGGAGACUAUUAUUAGUAUUCCAGAUAGAGUGUGUUCUUAGGAGUCCAUCAUGUGCUUUGAUCUGUCUGCAUCCACAGCUGGAAACUUUGCGCCAGUCUCUGGAAGCAGCACGAACUGACAACAGUCGCCUCCAUCAGGAAAGUGAGUUAGUGGUUGAAAAUGUUAAUCAGUGGAUCAAAGAACAAAAAAUUACAGGCUGUUAAUUCCUCUGGGAUCAUUGCUUCCUAUCAGAUUAAUUUGAAUUGACCAGCAUUUUCAGAAGUUACUGUGUAUGUGUGGACAGAAAGAGACAUACCACUGAAUGUGAGGGAUUUGAGUUGCAUACUGAACAAGAUACAGUCACCCUCUUCUGUUUUCUACUUCACAUGAGCACUGCUUGGCUAGAUGCUUCAAGUACUUGUCUCUCUGCACAAAGUCCUUCAAAGCACACUGCCAACUUGGAAUAAGAUGGAACAGAUGACUCUUCUACAACCCUAAUGUUUUUCACAGCAUCCAGAAGCCAUCUUACCAUUACUGCUGAUGUUGGUCUGCAUUUUCAAGCACUGUCAGCAUGUUUUUACAACUCUGUUUCCAACUGCAAACCCAGUUAAAGAAUCAGAAAGUAUUUUCUCCUCUGUCGCAACCACAGUGAUGUUAUGAAUUUAGGAGAAUUUUACCUUUCCUGAAGAACUCUAUUGCUUAAAUUGAUGUUCCAAAAAUUUGUGUGAAUAAGUGCUUUGGAAAUAUUUUCUUCAUGACAGAAAAAUGAUGGGAAGAACAGUGUCUAAGUAUAAAUGUGAAUGAUAACAUGGAUAUAAAGAGAUCUGAGCCAUUCUGCCAGUGGUCUGAGGUGGCAAGAUGCUAAAUUUAGAGCUUUAAGCUGAAAUUAUUUCUUCAAGGAUAUGUUAGUUUAAAACAGCUAUGCAACUUCUGCAUUUUAUCUGAUUUCCAUUGAAAUGCCUAGAAAUCACAGAAGAGGAGCUUAGGAGGUCUAGACCUCCUUCAUACCCUUCACAUGCUUAAGACUGAAGAACCUAUUAGUCUGAUGGAUUAAAAUAUCCUUUGUACUUUAGAGAACUCCUGCUAGGAUCUGGCAACAAACGUUUCUCUGGCUUAGCAUAUUAGGUAUCACUGGCAUGACAUAGGAAGAAAGAAUAUAUUUUUAGCUGGUAAAUUCUACUUCCUUGCACAGAAGUUGAAGAGGUAGUGUAUAAAUAAAGACAUAUUUGAGUACUAUAAAACUACCUAUGAGCUCAGGAAAACAGUAUAACCCUCAGAAGUUCUUUCAUGAUUCCUCAUAACCUGUGGCUUGAAAGGAGUAGUAAAAUGGGUUGAAGAGAACUAGUUCUGUUUUCUGACAUUUAUUCUUCACAUCCUCCAUUGAACAUGGUAAAAAAAAUGAGCUCUGAGCUGAGAAGUGGUUAUCUACUGUUUCAGUGAAACUCAAUAAAUUUGCAAGUUAUGUUUUGAAACACAUCCUUCUUUAUGUAUAUUUUUCACUUCAGAGACUUGCCGUCACCAAAUGUCAUAAGGUUUAUUAGUCCAUCAAUUACAUUUUUCCCUCUGUUCUUCCAUUUACUUUGACAUUAUGUUACAUUUAAUUUACCAAAUAUUGUGUUAAUGAUAUUACACUGAGUAUAUAAUUUAUCCUUUACAGUUAAGACUGUGUUUAUAUUUUCUAAUUUUUUUAUUUAUUUGAGCUCUAAAAUCUCUUACCGUUACUACUUCUCUUCUCUGUAGGUUUGUUGUUGACAUUAUAAUUAGAUUGCUUGAUAAAAUUCCAUUUAACCAUUUCAGGCAUGGAACAGGUAUUUAAUGCUUGAUUAAAAAGACACUGUACCUUUCAAUCUAUUUCAUUUUAACGUUCAGUUAAAAUAUUGGAAAAUAGAUAGGAGUUAUUUUUGCAAAUAUUUUUUUCCUAUAAUUUAUUUUUCAUUUUCAUGGUUUCUGGGGGAGGGGAGUGUUCUGUCUCUUAUUCCCCUGUCAAAUGUUCAUACAACAAAAGAAACACCACCUGAUUGCCUGUGUGAGAGAAAUUGUGAAACACCAUAUGCCAAAAGCUGUUAGUAGCACAAAGUGAAAAGAUAGGGGAAAAAAAAACAACAAGAAAACACCACCACAAUAUCUAUACUCUGUAAUCUUCUUCGGCUAUAAUAACCUGAUGUGUUACUUUUAACAAAUGUGGAAAUGUUUGUUAUUUUUCUUCCUGAUAAAGUGUGACUUAUAAAUUGAAUCUGUCGGUCUUUAAGUGGAGAGAGAAAGCUCCUUCCUGAAAAUCAUUGGACCACUUACAAGUUACACAUUUCAUAUAUCUGAAAAUAAGUUUGAUUUAGGAGCUUGAUCCAGAAGUAUUUGCUAUAAAUAUUGGAGAAUAUCAAACAAUAUAUGGAUAACACAUUACUUCCUUCAAAGAUUAAAAGGUUAAUCAUUAAUCAUCAAAGAUUUACAUUUUCUAUUUUGAUUACUUGCAUUAUAAUACUUGAUAAUCUUUCAUAAAAUUGAUUUUUAGCUUGGAGAAGAGGAGAUCUCAUUGUGGCCUUCCAAUCCUUGAAGGGAACAUAUGAACAGGAGGGGGAAUGACUGUAUAUGGGGGUGAAUAGUGAUAGGACAAGGAAGAAUAGUUUUAAACUAAGACAGGGGAGGUUUAGGUUGGAUUUUAGGAGGAAGUUUUUCACACAGAGGGUGAUGAAGCACUGGAACAGGUUGCCCAAGGAGGUUGUGGAUGCCCCAUCCCUGGGCCAGGCUGGAUAUGGCUCUGGGCAUCCUGGUCCAGCGGUCUUUACGACCCUGCCCAUGGUAGUGGGGUUGAAACUAGAUCAUUGUGGUCCUUUUCAACCCAGGCCAUUCUAUGAUGAUUCUAUGAUUUACUCCUGUAUUCUCUUUCUGUCUAGCAUGUAAAUUGUUCUGCUCUCAAAAAAUGUUAUGGUCAAAGACCCCAAGAAUAUGCAAGAAAAUACCCAUUCUAAAUAUUUUCAUUAUUUUAAGAGCUGCUGAUUCACAGGACUUUGAUCAUUUGAGUAUACUCAGGGCUGCUUCAUUAUCUGACUCAACAAGGUUGAACAUUUCCCUCAUUAUCCCCUUCUAUAUACAACCAGGAACUAUACCCACCACAAUCACUAUGCUAAACCAUACAGGUAGCCCAUGUUCAACCAGUUUCUUACCAUUAUUCCUAUCACUUAGCUUGUCAUUGUUUUCCAAACACAAUCCUUCAGUCCUAUGAAUCUACAUUUUUUUUGUUUUUUCUAGAUGUAUUACUAUGUAUUUGUCUGCCAUAAAAUGUUUGCCGUUUGAUUUACAUCAAUUACACAAGGAAUCUAAAUCACUCAGUAAAACUAAUGUGUCAACAUCCUUAGAAUUUCACCAAUUCUUGUAAGAUCUUGUAAGAUUUACAAAACAAUUUACAAUUCUUGUAAGAUUUGUCACUGAAAAUGUAAUAUGUUGCCAGAUUAUCAGUGAAGAUGCUGAAUAUCUGUAGACAAAAAUUGUCUCUCAGAACAUGGGUUCCUGAGAAAUUCGAUGUUGAAUAUUUAUUUUACCAGUUUUAUAAAAGCGUGGCUUAUUUUAGAAUGAGGACCUAAACUGGGCAUAGUAAAGUCCUAAUUUCAAAUGUGUCGAAAUCAUACAGUUUCUGUGUCCUCUACCUCAAACAUAAAUAAAUGAAAUGGAAUUGAAAUAACUACUUCAAAAUAUACAUUCUUGUAUGAUGUAAUUCUUUAUAAAUGAAUUCUGUCUCAACUGUCUGCAAGUUAGAAUUAGGUUCCUAAAUCUUGUAGGUGACAUUAGAUAUUUGUUUAAGAAUAUGAAAUUUUUGAGUACGAAGUAGUCUUAAUCUCAUGUGUGCAUCUUAGUGGCUAAAUAAAAUUGGUGUUGAUGUGUGAACCAGGGCAAGGGUUUACAUGAAUUCAUGGUGAAUUUUGUAAUUGAUGUCAAAACUGUGCUUUAAAUUCUUUGUGGUUCUGUGCAUGUGUGUGUAGCUCAACGAAAACUCACAGGGAAUUCUGACUAGGUCUAAGUCUACUAGGAGUAAAACAGAAUUCAAAGAUGUCCUGCCUUUUCUCUUUAUUUUUAUUUUUAUUUUUAUUUAUUUUUGUGUACAGUAGGUGAAGAUGCAUAUGGUAGAAAGUGAGACUUGAAACAUAUACAUAGAAUAACACUUUGUGUCUCACUGAUUAUGAGUAUAUAUAAAGCCAAAUGCAUAAAAAUUACAGUGAGCCAAAAAUUCUAAUGUCUACCAAUCAGUAAAAUCUUUUGGAAUUUCUGUGUUUUUCAAUUUGUCUUUAAAAGAUUUUCAGUAUAUUCGCUGCUCCUUGCCCUUAGAUUAAAGUGAAAUAUGGAACAAAAUGAGAAUCAGUUCAAGUCAGGAAAUGAUGUUAAGGUUACAAAUGCAGAAUGAACUCUGCUUCCCUGUCUGUACAUGCUAUGAUAAGGUUGGUUGUUAUUUGAUCAUGUACAUCUUAGACUUUUGUCACCGAUUUAAUUUCAGACCAAAUCCAAACCAUGCAAAUACACACUGGGAAAAGUUUCACUGUGCAGACAAUAAUGCAGACUAUGAACAGCCUGAGUGAGCUAGGGUCCUCUUGAAAGUGAAUUGUGUUGUAAUAGAGACCAUGAAUUAAGAUCACACAGUCUGGGCUCUGCACCUAUUUUUCCUUCACCUGAAACAUUACUACAGACCUCAAUGCCUCUCUGUUCUGCUGUUGUAAAUAUUCAUUCAAGUAUUUUACUGAAGGGUUCCAAGAAUAAAUUCAUUAUUUCUUAUGAAGCACUCUGAUAUUACAGUGAUGACAUAGAUAGAAGGCUAUGAAGAAAAAUAAAAGCUUAUUUGCUUCAGGGUUUAGAGGCUCCAUAGUAAAUAAAAUGUGGAACCACAUGCUGAACAUAAGGAUAAAAAGAAAUAUCCAGGUGUUGCUUAGUACUUUGUGCCCCAUAUUAAUCAGAGGCCCAGGGCAGGGGAACAGAGCAGAGUAAAAAUUAGUCUGCUUUUUUUUUUCUACAGGAAUUCUGAUACAAAACUUGAGGAUGGUGUGCACAGAGUACAGGAGAGAGUUGAUGUUAGAGAUAUCAUUAACUGGUCUUUGGUCAUAUAUACUAUGAAAUUAAUUUGAACCAAAUUAAAUUUUACUUUACCCAUAAUCCUGUUGAAUGGACCUCUUUAGAGUACAAGGGCUUUUCUGGUGCAUAGAGGUGUCAAUUUAUAAUGUCUUUGACCAGUAAAAAUUGAUUUGUUCCUGUAUAUAUCACACAAGCAUAAAUAUAUUUGAAAAUAGUUUUGCAUUUAUCAUGAAUAUUCUUCGUAAGACAGUAAAUAUUUUCGAAUAUCACAGGUCCUUACAAAGACUUUAAGGCUUUGUGAUGUUUUAAGCAAUUUUCUCUCUUUUUGAUAGUAGCUGAAAUAAAGAAAAUGGCUUACAGAUUUAGCUGUAUAUAUAGUUUGAAAGUAACAACUGAAAAAUGAUGUUCAUAAUCUGAAUUGCAAUGAAACCAAUUAUCUGUACCAUGGUGUUUCACUUGGGAAUACUCUGAAAGGUUUAGUAUUUCUUAAAAGAAAUUAAAAACAGCUGUAAAAAUACCAUAAAACAAAAAUAGCAGCUGCAAAAGAGAUUAACAUUCCUAAAUUUCAUUUGAACCUGAUAUGUUAUUUUUCCAACAGCAACAUACAUAUAUACUGAUUUUUUUUUAAAUCUAUUCUUUAUGAAACUGAAUCCUUUUAAGAAAAAGAUGUUGGUUGAUGGGGCUUCUUUUCUUUCCCCUUUCCUUUCCUUUCCUUCCCUUCCCUUUCCUUUCCUUUCCUUCCCUUCCCUUCCCUUCCCUUCCCUUCCCUU